GACGAACGCUGGCGGCGUGCCUAAUACAUGCAAGUAGAACGCUGAAGGAGGAGCUUGCUCUUCUGGAUGAGUUGCGAACGGGUGAGUAACGCGUAGGUAACCUGCCUGGUAGCGGGGGAUAACUAUUGGAAACGAUAGCUAAUACCGCAUAAGAGUAGAUGUUGCAUGACAUUUGCUUAAAAGGUGCAAUUGCAUCACUACCAGAUGGACCUGCGUUGUAUUAGCUAGUUGGUGAGGUAACGGCUCACCAAGGCGACGAUACAUAGCCGACCUGAGAGGGUGAUCGGCCACACUGGGACUGAGACACGGCCCAGACCCCUACGGGAGGCAGCAGUAGGGAAUCUUCGGCAAUGGACGGAAGUCUGACCGAGCAACGCCGCGUGAGUGAAGAAGGUUUUCGGAUCGUAAAGCUCUGUUGUAAGAGAAGAACGAGUGUGAGAGUGGAAAGUUCACACUGUGACGGUAUCUUACCAGAAAGGGACGGCUAACUACGUGCCAGCAGCCGCGGUAAUACGUAGGUCCCGAGCGUUGUCCGGAUUUAUUGGGCGUAAAGCGAGCGCAGGCGGUUAGAUAAGUCUGAAGUUAAAGGCUGUGGCUUAACCAUAGUACGCUUUGGAAACUGUUUAACUUGAGUGCAAGAGGGGAGAGUGGAAUUCCAUGUGUAGCGGUGAAAUGCGUAGAUAUAUGGAGGAACACCGGUGGCGAAAGCGGCUCUCUGGCUUGUAACUGACGCUGAGGCUCGAAAGCGUGGGGAGCAAACAGGAUUAGAUACCCUGGUAGUCCACGCCGUAAACGAUGAGUGCUAGGUGUUAGACCCUUUCCGGGGUUUAGUGCCGCAGUUAACGCAUUAAGCACUCCGCCUGGGGAGUACGACCGCAAGGUUGAAACUCAAAGGAAUUGACGGGGGCCCGCACAAGCGGUGGAGCAUGUGGUUUAAUUCGAAGCAACGCGAAGAACCUUACCAGGUCUUGACAUCCCUCUGACCGCUCUAGAGAUAGAGUUUUCCUUCGGGACAGAGGUGACAGGUGGUGCAUGGUUGUCGUCAGCUCGUGUCGUGAGAUGUUGGGCUAAGUCCCGCAACGAGCGCAACCCCUAUUGUUAGUUGCCAUCAUUUAGUUGGGCACUCUAGCGAGACUGCCGGUAAUAAACCGGAGGAAGGUGGGGAUGACGUCAAAUCAUCAUGCCCCUUAUGACCUGGGCUACACACGUGCUACAAUGGCUGGUACAACGAGUCGCAAGCCGGUGACGGCAAGCUAAUCUCUUAAAGCCAGUCUCAGUUCGGAUUGUAGGCUGCAACUCGCCUACAUGAAGUCGGAAUCGCUAGUAAUCGCGGAUCAGCACGCCGCGGUGAAUACGUUCCCGGGCCU
rnacentral:rRNA from 1 species